GUUUAGUGGCAAAUAAAAAUAUAGCCUGAGAUCUUUUGUAAAGAUCUCCAGAGAUGAUUAGGCAAUGACUAAUUCCCACUCAACAGUUUUUCGUCUUAUUUAACCUGGAUCCAAGGGCCGAGGAUACAUUACACUUCUCCACUGAGAGGCAGGAGAGCUGGACUUCCCCUUGGUGGGACCGAGGUGCAAUUGGAUUUUGUGGCGUGUGUUGUCUGAGGUGGUCUGGCUAUGCCAGCAGGGCUGGAGCACUUCAUGGUCCUCCAGUGUGUGGUGUUUUCUGUUCACAGGCACACAAAACCCCCUGCAGGUCAGUCAGCCCUGAAGCUCUGUCUCUCACUUCAGCGAUUUUACCCUGACUUGAAUACUCACUUUUACUGCUUCCUCACAGAACUGCCUCCUACCACCCACCCACCCACCUUUUACACUGAGCUACUUAAUUUAGUGCAAACUUCCAUUUUCUGUCUCAGAGCUAUCACUUUUGAGACCUCCUCAUUCUCACAACCACCAAGAGUUGAUUUUUUUCCCCCUUACAGAUGGGAGAUUUUGUCACCCCAAAACAAGUAUUUUUGCUUUUGAUUUAGAUUACUCUUUUCAAUGGCAGAGAACUUUCAGGCCGUGUUGAGCUGUGGCUGCUGACUCAGUCCUUGACAUGGGCCUACAGGUAUGUACCCAGAAGUAGAAUUGCUAGAUCAUAUGGAAGAGAUACCCCAGGUCCAAGAU
ensembl:lncRNA